rnacentral:rRNA from 1 species
UGGGGAAUUUUGGACAAUGGGCGAAAGCCUGAUCCAGCAAUGCCGCGUGUGUGAAGAAGGCCUUCGGGUUGUAAAGCACUUUUGUCCGGAAAGAAAUCCUUGGCUCUAAUACAGUCGGGGGAUGACGGUACCGGAAGAAUAAGCACCGGCUAACUACGUGCCAGCAGCCGCGGUAAUACGUAGGGUGCAAGCGUUAAUCGGAAUUACUGGGCGUAAAGCGUGCGCAGGCGGUUUGCUAAGACCGAUGUGAAAUCCCCGGGCUCAACCUGGGAACUGCAUUGGUGACUGGCAGGCUAGAGUAUGGCAGAGGGGGGUAGAAUUCCACGUGUAGCAGUGAAAUGCGUAGAGAUGUGGAGGAAUACCGAUGGCGAAGGCAGCCCCCUGGGCCAAUACUGACGCUCAUGCACGAAAGCGUGGGGAGCAAACAGGAUUAGAUACCCUGGUAGUCCACGCCCUAAACGAUGUCAACUAGUUGUUGGGGAUUCAUUCCUUAGUAACGUACUAACGCGUGAAGUUGACCGCCUGGGGAGUACGGUCGCAAGAUUAAAACUCAAAGGAAUUGACGGGGUCAUAGCUGUUUCCU